rnacentral:antisense_RNA from 1 species
CUUCCUUGCUUUUUUAAGGGAUCCCUUCAGAUGACGAGACGGAAGCCCAGAGGCUUUCAAUUGCUUGCCCAAAGUCACAGAGCCGGGAAGUGCAGAGCCAGGCCACUGCCUGGUUUUAAAUUCUGGGUGGAAAUGCAAUGUGCUGGUCAACAUGGUGUGCUGGUGAGUGUGUUAUCCUCAGGGGCACCCAGGGGACAAAUGUGCAGACCAGCUGACAGCAACAGCAGGCUCCCCUCUUCUCCAUCAGGAACUGUCAGAGGAGGCUGGAUGUGGAGGAAAGCUGGGAUUCCUUUUCUCAUUUGAAAAAUGUUGAAACAGAUGCAUAUAAAAAAAGCAAAUUGUCUUGUUCCAGGUUUCCUAAAGAGGAAGUAUGAAAGUCAUAAUUGAAAUGGAAAAUGUUUGGUCUGAAAAUCCUACAUCUU